GCGGACGUAGCUCAGCGGCCAGAGCCUCGGUCUUCCAAACCGAACGUCGCGGGUUCGAGUCCCGUCGUCCGCUCCA
rnacentral:tRNA from 1 species